AGCUCCAAUAGCGUAUAUUUAAGUUGUUGCAGUUAAAAAGCUCGUAGUUGGAUUUCGGGUGAGGAUGACCGGUCUGCCGUUGCGGUACGCACUGGACGUUUUCAUCUUGUUGUCGGGGACGCGCUUCUGGGCUUCAUUGUUCGGGACGCGGAGUCGGCGCUGUUACUUUGAAAAAAUUAGAGUGUUCAAAGCAGGCAAUCGCUCUGAAUACAUUAGCAUGGAAUAACGCUAUAGGACUCUGGUCCUAUUGUGUUGGUCUUCGGGACCGGAGUAAUGAUUAAGAGGGACAGUUGGGGGCAUUCGUAUUUCAUUGUCAGAGGUGAAAUUCUUGGAUUUAUGAAAGACGAACUUCUGCGAAAGCAUUUGCCAAGGAUGUUUUCAUUAAUCAAGAACGAAAGUA
rnacentral:rRNA from 1 species